rnacentral:sRNA from 12 species
ACCUUAUAUAGAUGUAGUGACGCAAGACAGUUGCGCAUUUCCCUGUAAGGGUAGUGUUUUAAUAGAAGUAUAAGCGACAAGCCUUAUUGUGUGGCUAAGAGUCGAAAUAAGAUGAGUUUAUACGAAACAGGCUAACCGUAAGGCCUUGAGUUGAAAAACUCUAAAAUUAACCUAGAAUUCGAAUUUCUGAAAUUUUGUGUUUUCUAGUUACGGUGGA